CGACCAAUGUCUAAGGUACAGUCUUGAAAUUUAUAGAGAUUGCAAAUAGUUAUUGAAAUCAACUGCGAAGCUGUUGUAAGCUAUACAAAUCAAACAAACAAAGAUAGACGAAACACAUUGUGAUAUAAAGAAAAAAAAAAUAGUCAAAGAAGAGAAUAAAUCCAUCUACAAUUCUCACUCUGUCAAAUCCACCAAAUCCAUGUCUUAGCUUCUCGCAUGAUCAUGAUUAUUGCAUCGUCUCCUAGCGGCACCGAUUAUAACUUAGAUUAUGUAUCGCUAUGUUAAUAGACAACUACAGGUAAAUCAUUAUAAAUAAAAUUUAAAAAAAAACAAAAAAAAAAUUAUUUCUUUGUAUACAAAAAACGAAUAGGAGUUUUCUGCUAUGCGAAGAAAGAUUUAAAAAAAUAUAAUAUUAUUUUAUUUUAAAAGAAAACAAUAUUUUACAUUUUUAUAUUAUUAUUUUUUAUUUUUACUACAUCUGUUUGAAAGAAAAACCAUAAAUAUACUUUUUACUAUUUUGUUUAUUUUGAUAGUUUAACUAUUUCACUUUAUUUUUUAAAUAAUAAGUUAACAUUAUUAUUUUACAGAAAAUGAUAUUAUACAUUAUUUAAUGUUUAUUUAUUUUAAAUGUAUCUUAUUUCUUAAUUUUAAAUAUGUUUUAUUUAAAUAUAUAAUUUUUAAUAAAUUUUACAUUUUUGUUUUCUAUAGUUAAAAUAUGUUAAACUGGUAAAAAUCAGUAUGUUAAUUAACUUAAUAAACCGAUAAACUUAAAUAAAAAUUGAAUCAAUUAACUAUUAACAAUUUUUUAUUUGAUUCGUAUUGCUUUAGUUUUGCAUUAUCAAUGUACACUUACAGUUAACUUUGAUAGUAAAUGUAUAUAUAUAUAUAUAUACAUAUUUAUACCAAAUAUGAUAUAUAAGUUGAUGUAUAAAUCUAUUUGUAAUUAUAUUUAUUUUAUUUUUCACUUCUGUGAUAUAUAGUUUUAAUAUCAAGCACCCGCCAACGUGCAGAAAAUUCAGAUCUUCUAAUUUUCAGUAAAGUAUGAAAAAAAAUCAGGUAAUCAACAAUGUUUUAGUUCCAGUGAUGAUGAUAACAAAUAUAGUCUUAUUGUCUGUAAUGUGAUUUGGUUAAUUUUUCUCAAUCUUUUAUAAGUUCAUUAUGAAGUGAAGAAGAAGACAGAGAGAGAUAAUAAAACAACCAAUAGGCGCCAAUCCAUUGGAAAGAGUGCUUUCUAGGAGAUCUCAAGUUAUAAGAAAUUCAUCACCAAACCGGAGCUCUCGAAGCUCAAAACCAUCAUGUAAAGUUUCAAAUACUAACAUUACUUUUAGGAGAGAGAGAAGAACAAUAAAGGGUAACCAAGUUGCACUAUUUUCUUUUCCAAUUUAUCUAAUAUUAAGAGAAAAAAAAACAAUUUUCACAACACUCAAGUUUUUGUGUUGAAUAAUAGUAAGGUGAAUUGUUUGCUAAUGUUUCUUACAAUCAAACCAGAGAUAAUGAGAGGAGCAAGUGGGUCACAGGUCGUACCACCUCUGCUGCCAUCUCACCAAGCGGGGUUGGAACCCUAUAACUGCCUCUAAUAAGAGGAACUACUAGGCCAUUGUGCCACAGAUGAUAAAAAAAAAUAAGUCGAAGAUAACUGAUGAGUAGUAUGAAUCUGAAUAAAACAUCUAUCAUCUUAUUUUUUUAUUUUGAAAAUAAAUGAAUUUUGUCGGCCAAUUAUGUAUUGGCCGUAUCCCCUAUUCAAUAAUUCAACUUUCCAAAUUUGACUUACAAAUAAGAAAUUUGUGAAUUUAUGACACGAGUGAAUUAGAUAUGAACACAAAGAAAUAAUAUUUUACCAUUAAAUUCUGAUCAGUUAAGAUUAUUUAUUUUUCAGAUUUUUUAUCAUUUAAAUUAAUAUUUAAAUAUCUAGAUGAUAGAAAUUUUAAGUUAUUAUUAAGCUACAGAAAUGGUAUAUCAGUAUCUUAAAAAUGUUGCUUUAAAAAGUUGUAGUAGGAAAUAGUUUUCAUAUUUUCUGUCCCAUGUUACAAAAUAAAAAAUUUGCCCUAACAAUAAAUAAAAUUAAAUAGCCAACUAAUCAUGGCAACUAUAGCAAAUGUAGUUGGACACAUUCUCAUGAUGUUAGAAACUAACCACUACAAUCCAAAAAUAGAAACAAACUCAUAGUUGGACUGCUUUUAAAUAUGUUCAUACAAAUUAAAAUAUUUACAUUGUAAAACAUACAUUCUAACUCAUUUUAAACUAUAUUAUUAAUCAAUGAUGAUGAGCUUACACUAUAAAUCAGCCAAACAUCUCUAUUCAGGGAGUUGCAGAACAUAUGUAAUUGAAAAUAUAAAUUUGUUGUGGUGACAAGAAAUUAUCUCCAAAAUAUUUAAGGUAAUAACAAAUAUAAAUUUAAAGGCUUAUAAUACAUACUGAUUAAUAAAUUUAUUUAAAAAGAAAUUACUAUUUAGCUAAGAAGAUUAUCACCAAGAAAACAUAACUAAGAACAACUUUAGUGUGACAUAUUCUGAGGUUUCUAUGUAUUCUAAACUCAAUUUUAGUAUUUUAGCAAAAAAAUAAAAAAAUUAUUACGAAAAUGAGAGAAAAAAAGUUAUAUGCAACAAAAAUCAGAGCAUGUCUUUCCUAAAAUACUAUAUUCUACACACUAGAUAGUUUAUGAACACAAAAACAUUGUACAAUAUUUGAUAUUAACACAAUAAAAUCAUUAGUAUAAUUUAAAUAGUAAUUAUCCGCGCGUAGCGCGGAAAACGACCUAAUUGUGUAACAAUGUUCGCAUGAUUGAAUUUGUGUAUCACAAUACUAAAAGCAGCAUUUCCUCAAAAUCUAUGCUGCCACGUCAUCAAAAAUAAUUGGCCAAUCACAACAUUUUAUUUUUGUUUUGGGUCUCAAUUGUCUGGGCUUGGGUGUGUGGAUUUAUUAAACCAUAUUCUGUGUUUUCAUUUCAGGCCUAUCUCUAAAUAUAAUGCAUUGAGACCCGAAAUCGCAUGUCGUCAUCUAAGUCGUAUCUUCAUCUUACGGCCGCCGCUUUUUCCGAGAUGAAAGUCGAUGAUAACGCCAUGGACGUUACAACGUUUCAUCUUGCUCUUCUUUACUUCCUGUUAAUUCGUGAUUUAUCCACUCCUCAGCAUUCAAUCCGACUCCUUCUCUUCCCGUACCUACUCACUAGAGCUUCGGGUAUAAAUACUUCCUCAUCCAGACAUGAGCAUCACAGCUUCGACGAGAACCAGAAGAUCUCUCUGUUCAAUUUCUGGUUAUUACAAUGGCGAAUUCCCAAGUCUGUCUUGCUGAUUUGAAAGCAGGACGCUGCUCCAACGUUGCGGAGGUCCAGAGGGAAGCAAGAAAUGUGAGGAAAGGAGGUGAAUUGACGAGUGUUGACAUGCUCUUUGUCGAUGAGAAUUUCAAGGAAAGGUUUGCUUGUGUCCUACCCGCAUUCAGCUUUUACCAACGUAAUGCGGUGAACAAGCAUUGAAGACGUUCACCCAAACGGUGGAAUCAAGAAAUUCAAAUCUUCUGUCUACUCCAACUUUAUAUUUUCCUUUCGUCUAAAUCAAAACUGGUUCCCCAAUCCAAUCGUUCUCAAGUCAUGUCGCUCAUACAACAAGGUGAGAUGGCUUUGUCUGCAAAUCGGUUUCAAAGGUUACGAGAAGUAGCUCGAGGUCAUCUUUCAAGACUCCAAGGGAUUUGGUCUCUGUGCUCUGAUCAAGUCGCAGUUGGACAAAAAACUCACUCUUGCUGCAUGUGUGAUCGUGCUCUGAGUCCAGUUUCUUUGUCUACCCCCACAAAGUCAUCAUCAAGACUUCUUCAUCUUCACAUCUGAGUGAGAGCGGGAGCAAGGCUGCAGACCCAGACCCAGUUGGGACAUCACCAGAGCCUACAACUAAGAAGCCAAUGAGGUGUACCAAUCUUGAGUAGACGUUAUAGUGGCUCUCAAUUAUCGUUCAGCCCAGCUGUCAUCUAUCAUAUUUUCAUAGUUUAAGCUUUCAGUUUAAUAAUUGUAAGGCUUAUUAGGUCUCGGUCUAUGCAAAUAUUUGGGCUUUGAUAUUUUAAAAUUAAACACUUAUACACCUAAGUGAGUCAAUAACAUAAUAUUUCCCAGCUUCUUAUUUCUCUUCCAAACACACUCCAUCGAAGAUAAAUUGACUCUACAGGAAAUAGCUUUCCCCGACAUACAACGUUUUUUAAAACUUCGGGGAUAUAAACAUAAGAAUGUAGCUGGGUGGAUGUCGUCCACCUGAGUGUGAACCCAAAGUUGACCUUUAGUUCGUCAAAAGCUUUUAACACAAGAAAAAUUCCAGAAAAUGUUGUGUUUUUCAGUUUUGCCAAUUUUGUUGAUCAGACGGCAAUAUAAGCACUGCGAUUAAACUAUGUUUGGCACACUUUGACUCUAAAGAACGAUUGUCCAAUUACCACCAUCCACAGAUAUAAUAAACUGAAAAACUAUUAAUAAAUAACAAAACAAUUUAAUCCAUCGUAACAGUAAACUAAAUGGAAUAAUCUGGAAAAAGAAGUCCAAGUCUUAGUUU